rnacentral:rRNA from 1 species
UCCCAGACUCCUACGGGAGGCAGCAGUGGGGAAUAUUGCACAAUGGGGGAAACCCUGAUGCAGCGACGCCGCGUGAGUGAAGAAGUAUUUCGGUAUGUAAAGCUCUAUCAGCAGGGAAGAAAUAGCGACCUUUGGGUCGCCAGACGGUACCUGAUUAAGAAGCCCCGGCUAACUACGUGCCAGCAGCCGCGGUAAUACGUAGGGGGCAAGCGUUAUCCGGAUUUACUGGGUGUAAAGGGAGCGUAGACGGCAUGGCAAGUCUGAAGUGAAAGCCCGGGGCUCAACCGCGGGACUGCUUUGGAAACUGUAUGGCUUGAGUACUGGAGAGGCAGGCGGAAUUCCUAGUGUAGCGGUGAAAUGCGUAGAUAUUAGGAGGAACACCAGUGGCGAAGGCGGCCUGCUGGACAGAAACUGACGUUGAGGCUCGAAAGCGUGGGGAGCAAACAGGAUUAGAUACCCCAGUA